UUGGAGGGCAAGUCUGGUGCCAGCAGCCGCGGUAAUUCCAGCUCCAAUAGCGUAUAUUAAAGUUGUUGCAGUUAAAAAGCUCGUAGUUGAAUUUCGGGAUCAAUAUAUCGGUCGUGCCAUCGGUACGUACUGGUAUCAUUGGUUUCUCCUUUCUGACGAACCAUGAUGUCAUUAAUUUGGUGUUAUGGGAAGUUAGGACUGUUACUUUGAAAAAUUGAGUGUUUAAAGCAGGCUUUAGCUUGAAUACAUUAGCAUGGAAUAAUGAAAUAGGACGUUCGAACCUAUUUUGUUGGUUUCUAGGAUCAACGUAAUGAUUAAUAGGGAUAGUUGGGGGCAUUAGUAUUCAAUUGUCAGAGGUGAAAUUCUUGGAUUUUAUUGAAGACUAACUACUGCGAAAGCAUUUGCCAAGGAUGUUUUCAUUAAUCAAGAACGAAGUUAGGGGAUCGAAGACGAUCAGAUACCGUCGUAGUCUUAACCAUAAACUAUGCCGACU
rnacentral:rRNA from 1 species